rnacentral:piRNA from 1 species
GACACCUCUGAUAAAUUCAGAAGAUGGCUUC